UACGAAGGGGGCAAGCGUUGUCCGGAAUCAUUGGGCUUAAAGAGCGUGUAGGCGGCUUGGUAAGUCCGCUGUGAAAGUCCAGGGCUCAACCCUGGAAUGCCGGUGGAAACUGUCAAGCUUGAGUCCGGAAGAGGCGAGUGGAAUUCCUGGUGUAGCGGUGAAAUGCGCAGAUAUCAGGAGGAACACCAAUGGCGAAGGCAGCUCGCUGGGACGGUACUGACGCUGAGACGCGAAAGCGUGGGGAGCAAACAGG
rnacentral:rRNA from 1 species